CCUACGGGAGGCUGCAGUGAGGAAUAUUGGUCAAUGGACGAGAGUCUGAACCAGCCAAGUAGCGUGAAGGAUGACUGCCCUAUGGGUUGUAAACUUCUUUUAUAUGGGAAUAAAAUGUUCCACGUGUGGGAUUUUGUAUGUACCAUAUGAAUAAGGAUCGACUAACUCCGUGCCAGCAGCCGCGGUAAUACGGAGGAUCCGAGCGUUAUCCGGAUUUAUUGGGUUUAAAGGGAGCGUAGGUGGAUUGUUAAGUCAGGUGUGAAAGUUUGCGGCUCAACCGUAAAAUUGCAGUUGAAACUGGCAGGCUGGAGUGCAGUAGAGGUGGGCGGAAUUCGUGGUGUAGCGGUGAAAUGCUUAGAUAUCACGAAGAACUCCGAUUGCGAAGGCAGCUCACUGGACUGCAACUGACACUGAGGCUCGAAAGUGUGGGUAUCAAACAGGAUUAGAUACCCUUGUAGUC
rnacentral:rRNA from 1 species